GCAGAAAGUUACUCAUGCUGGAACUGCCUUUGGGGUGAUGCAGCUAUCUUUGAGUCAUCCAUGCUCCUGUUUUUGGAAACAUGGAACUGGAUCUCAUAGGAUCAAAGAAGAGUACAUAAAUUCUGGAGCCAUUUUGUUGAGAUUUGCAAACUUUGUGUAACAGUGAUGGUAUCAGCAAAAACGUAAGACUGGGAA